UACGAAGGGGGCUAGCGUUGUUCGGAAUUACUGGGCGUAAAGGGCGCGUAGGCGGCGUUUUAAGUUGGGGGUGAAAGCCUGUGGCUCAACCACAGAAUUGCCUUCGAUACUGGGACGCUUGAGUGCGGUAGAGGUUGGUGGAACUGCGAGUGUAGAGGUGAAAUUCGUAGAUAUUAGCAAGAACACCGGUGGCGAAGGCGGCUCACUGGACCAUCACUGACGCUGAGGCGCGAAAGCGUGGGGAGCAAACAGG
rnacentral:rRNA from 1 species